AUUGAACGCUGGCGGCAUGCUUUACACAUGCAAGUCGAACGGCAGGGCGCUCUUCGGGUUGGUUGCGAGAGGCGGGCGGGUGAGUGUUACAUCGGAAUGUGCCCAGCUGGAGGGGAUAGCACGGCGAAAGACGGGGGAAUACUACCGACGACCCGAGGGUGAAACAGGGGGAUGGUUGGACAGCGCCGUAGUGGAGGGGCCGAUGGGAGAUUACUUAGUUUGUGGGGUCAGGGGCUACCUAGGCUGGGAUCGGUAGCUGGCCUGAGAGGAUGACCGGCCACCCUGUGACUGAGACGCCGCCCAGACUCCUACGGGAGGCAGCAGUGGGGAAUUUUGGGCAAUGGGCGAAAGCCUUAUCCAGCAAGCCCGCGUGUGUGAUGAAGGCCUUCGGUUUGUAAUGCACUUUUGCCGGGACGGAACCGGUCUGUGCCAAUACGACGGUUUGGUGACGGUACCCGCUAAAUAAGCACCGGCUAACUACGUG
rnacentral:rRNA from 1 species